GAAAUGCGAUAAGUAAUGUGAAUUGCAGAAUUCAGUGAAUCAUCGAAUCUUUGAACGCACAUUGCGCCCGCCAGUAUUCUGUCGGGCAUGCCUGUCCGAGCGUCAUUUCAACCAUCAAGCCCCCGGGCUUGUGUUGGGGACCUGCGGCUGCCCGCAGGCCCUGAAAACCAGUGGCGGGCUCGCUGUCACACCGAGCGUAGUAGCAAUCACCUCGCUCAGGGCGUGCUGCGGGUUCCGGCCGUUAAACAGCCUUACAAAACCCAAGGUUGACCUCGGAUCAGGUAGGAAGACCCGCUGAACUUAAGC
rnacentral:misc_RNA from 1 species